AUUGAACGCCGGCGGCAUGCCUUACACAUGCAAGUCGAACGGUAACAGGUCUUCGGAUGCUGACGAGUGGCGAACGGGUGAGUAAUACAUCGGAACGUGCCUAGUGGUGGGGGAUAACUACUCGAAAGAGUGGCUAAUACCCCAUGAGAUUUACGGAUGAAAGCAGGGGAUCGCAAGACCUUGUGCUAUUAGAGCGGCCGGUGGCAGAUUAGGUAGUUGGUGGGGUAAAGGCCUACCAAGCCGACGAUCUGUAGCUGGGCUGAGAGGAUGAUCAGCCACACUGGGACGGAGACACGGCCCAGACUCCUACGGGAGGCAGCAGUGGGGAAUUUUGGACAAUGGACGCAAGUCUGAUCCAGCCAUUCCGCGUGCAGGAUGAAGGCCCUCGGGUUGUAAACUGCUUUUGUACAGAACGAAAAGGCUCUGGUUAAUACCUGGGGCUCAUGACGGUACUGUAAGAAUAAGCACCGGCUAACUACGUGCCAGCAGCCGCGGUAA
rnacentral:rRNA from 1 species